rnacentral:lncRNA from 1 species
CAUCCAGAGCAUCUCAAUAUGUCCUGGACAGUGGUCAGCUCCAAUGUGUUCACCUACAGAGUGAUCCAAUGCCACAACCUGCUGGAUGAUGGGAACGACCCACUGCUGUGUGGUCAUAUAGAGGACCAGGAGGAGCUCAAGGCCAUCAGAAGCAACACCAAGCGCAUCAACGGCUUCAUUGUCAUUGAUGAGGCAGUCAAUCAGCUCUAUGGCUCCCAGGUCACCAGGUACUUUGAUGCCAGAAAUGUUCUCUAUAGGAUCCUCCCACUGCCCACUACAGAGGAGAACAGGUCCAUUAAAUGUUCUCUAUAGGAUCAUCCCACUGCCCACUACAGAGGAGAACAGGUCAAUUAAAUGCUUCCAGUCCUGUGACCAGAAGACCAGUGGCUGCUGUGACAUGGAGGAUGCUGCCACUACAUCCCCACAGAUUGCCAUAGAAAUCAUGCUAGAGGAGUUGGCUCCCAACCUAUGGGAAGAUGACCUGGACAGACUGGUGGACAUUGGCCACCUAGUCAGCCCUGAGCUACGAAUGAAAGUGCUGACUGUGCUGCUCCACGGGGAGGCGUGAACAUCGACAUUUCCUUCAUGGUGUACGUGGCCCACCAGAAAGGGCUCCAGACGGAAGAGGAGAAGGCGUGGAUCAGCCGCUGCAUGAUGGAGCUGGAGCUGCCUGUGUGGCACCAAGACUGCACUCUGGCCCUGGUGCAGGAGUCUUUAAACACUCUGCAGGGUCCCUGAGGAUGCCUCUUCAUACAGGACUGUGCAGGUCUGGACAUAUUUCCUUUAAAGGGGAAAGAUAUGUACCCAUUGAUUAUUGAAGAAUAUAAUUUAUAAAUGCCUCAUGAGCUAAGUUUAACUGUCUUACCCCAUCAGAACCCAAAAUAUAAGCUUGUUUUACUCCUAUUUUUGUAAACAAAAUAAAUGUAAACAAACAGCCUCAAAACAUGGUUAUAUCAGUAAUUGUGAUGUCAUCGAUGGUCUGUCCUUGCAACAAUAGCUUCCUCUUUGAAUUUGAGAGUGGUUACAUUUCUCCCACCCCAUCCCUCAGCUUUUUACCAAAAUAGGGGUGGGGAGCCCACUUUUUUAUUGUCUCAACUGCUGAUUGACGCUUUAAGAACACCAUCAAACUGCCUUUUUAAAUCAGAACAUUCCUAGACAUUCCAUACAGUAUGAGUUUUGGAAUUUCCAAAACAAGUAAAUGUAUCCGAUGGGGAUAUGUGAAACUCAAUCCUCAGCCUGAAGUGUUCCUACUUUUGUCACAGAAUAGCUAGCUUUUUGUGUGGCCGGACUGGUAAGACACUUCGGGAGUACAGUCCAGUGUGCUAG